AUCAUUCACAAUGGGGGAAACCCUGAUGGUGCGACGCCACGUGGGGGAAUGAAGGUCUUCGGAUUGUAAACCUCUGUCUUCGGUGACGAAAAUGACGGUAGCCGAGGAGGAAGCCACGGCUAACUACGUGCCAGCAGCCGCGGUAAUACGUAGGUGGCAAGCGUUGUCCGGAAUUACUGGGUGUAAAGGGAGCGUAGGCGGGAGUGCAAGUCGGCUGUCUAAACUAUGGGCUCAACCCAUAAUCGCGGCCGAAACUGUAUUUCUUGAGUGAAGUAGAGGUAAGCGGAAUUCCUAGUGUAGCGGUGAAAUGCGUAAAUAUUAGGAGGAACACCAGUGGCGAAGGCGGCUUACUGGGCUUUAACUGACGCUGAGGCUCGAAAGCGUGGGUAGCAAACA
rnacentral:rRNA from 1 species